rnacentral:rRNA from 1 species
GACGAACGCUGGCGGCGUGCUUAACACAUGCAAGUCGAACGGAAAGGCCCUGCUUUUGUGGGGUGCUCGAGUGGCGAACGGGUGAGUAACACGUGAGUAACCUGCCCUUGACUUUGGGAUAACUUCAGGAAACUGGGGCUAAUACCGGAUAGGAGCUCCUGCUGCAUGGUGGGGGUUGGAAAGUUUCGGCGGUUGGGGAUGGACUCGCGGCUUAUCAGCUUGUUUGUGGGGUAGUGGCUUACCAAGGCUUUGACGGGUAGCCGGCCUGAGAGGGUGACCGGCCACAUUGGGACUGAGAUACGGACCAGACUCCUACGGGCGGCAGCAGUGGGGAAUAUUGCACAAUGGGCGGAAGCCUGAUGCAGAAACGCCGCGUGCGGGAUGACGGCCUUCGGGUUGUAAACAGCUUUCGAAUGUGACGAAGCGUGCGUGACGGUAAUGGGUAAAGAAGCACCGGCUAACUACGUG